rnacentral:tRNA from 1 species
GGACCCAUAGUUCAAUGGUUAGAACAGAUGUCUUAUAUACAUCAGAACUCAGUUCGAUUCUGAGUGGGUCUACCA